UUCAACUCUUUGACAACAUGAAAAACCAAAAGCUCUGCCCUCCCUCUCUAUCUAUCCAAGGGAUGGAAGGGCAGAGUCCUUUGGUGUCCCCCCCAGUCAAGAA
rnacentral:rRNA from 1 species